CAACGGUCAAAAAAAUUUCAAUUUGAAAUUGAUAUGGACCGUCCGAUCUAGAUAUCAACGGUCCACAUUUUUCCACUAGAAAUUGAAAAAAAAAAAAAAGCACAACGGUUAGAAUUAUGAUCGUUGGCCACGUGUCAAGGUAUAAGCUGUUGGAUUUGAAUCUUUUCAAAUCUAACGGUCCAAAUUAAUUACCUAAAUUAAAAUUGAUAAAAAAAUUAAUUAAAAAUUGUUAAAAAAAUACAUAAAUUUUUUUUAAAAAAAUCCUAUAAAUACCUAACCCCUCAUAUUCCACCUUACACUACAUUUCAAUAUUAUCAACAAUUUUUACCAAAGCUUUCAUAUAAUUUUUUAGAGAAAAAAAUGACUGCGUGGAAGCUCAUCAAAGAUCUUACUUUGUGUGAAUGCUGGGUUCACACUACUCAUGACCCAAUUACAAGUAAUGAGAUGGAUAAGCGAGAAAUGUGGAGUAAAAUUACGAAAGCGUUUUGCGAUGUACUUGGAAAAGACGCUAGAAGUAGUCAAGGUCUUCAAGCUUGUUGGAAAAAAAAAAAACUCAACGCAUCCUUUACUUGUUGAAAAAAAGUCAUCUCUCAUGCUUCUAGUAAUCUGCGUAAUGGGACAAGUUUAGCGGAUCAGGUGACAAUAUUUUUAUUUAUUUAUAUGCAUUUCACCCGCAUCAAUAUUUUAAGUUACUUAUUUGUGUUACACGCGCAUUUUAUAAUAUUGUCUUAUCCCACAUUCUAAAAGCACAAGCAUUUUACAAUGCAAAGAACCAGAACAAAUCAUUCAGCAGAUGAGAAUGUUGGCAAAUUGUCAAAGAUUGCCCCAAAUACA
rnacentral:lncRNA from 1 species